GCUACACUGGCAGCUCUGCUUGUCAAAAUGUAUUAGAAAACAAUAAGAAUUUGUAAAUGGAAAUCGUUUACAAUCGCCAAUUAAGUACUUCGCGCCCCCUGAUCGAUCAGUGUAUUUAAGGAACUGCAAGUGAGUUGAUCAAACGAUGUGAGAUGUGUCACACCCACGAAUCAGAAAUGCAUCAAUCAAAAUUGCAUUUCAAUCAUCAGCGACGGUCAGCUAAUUUCACUGAACAGUGGCUGCCAAUCAAACAAUUAAUCACAAGGCCAUUCAGUCACUGCCAAAGCAAUUAAAAUUAAUCAACAAUCAAUCAAAAUGUCACCGAGCGCACGCAAAAGCCCCAACUGCAGCUAUUUAUAUACAUACAUAUAUACAUACACAUAUAGGUGUAUACAUAUAUGCACGUAUGUAUGUAUGUGCAAUCUUUGUCAGGCAAUCAAUUAGUUCCCGCUCAGGACCUGCUCCAAAUCAUCAGCAUCACCAGCAACAAUCGUGGAAUGUAUGUACAUAUGUAUGUAUGUAUGUAUGUAUAUUCAAUCAGCUGACCUCGAUGUCUGGGCUGCUCUUUGGCCAUGGCCAUUGCCAAUAUGUGCUCGUAUAAUCAAAAAACAAAAAUCAAACACGCACACACACACACGCACACACACACAUACGCACCCAAUCUACGCCAUUAGCCAUAUAACCUAUAAGCUCAUACAGCCCAUAACCCGUAACCCCAAAGCUGUAACCCAGUUUCAAUUGAACGCUUUUUCACAUGCCAAUGCACCAGCCGCCCGCCCACAUACCUCCGCCCCCUGCCCGCCUAGCCCACGCUCCACUGCUCAUCAGGAUCAUCAUCAAUUGGCAUGCAAUGUGUGACCGCGACCGAGACUAGGCAAAUGCUUGCCGAAUGCGAGGUUUUAUUUUCGGCCGGAUUUCCAGGGUAAUUGAAGCAGAGAGUGAGACGGAGAGGGAGAGGGAGACAGAGACCAAGCAAGGCAAUAGCACAACUAAAUUGAAAUCAAACCCAGACGCACCAGCACUCACACGCACACGGAUACCCGCACGCACGCACGUGCGUGUCACGAGUCGGGCGCUAGGCUAGGCUUUACGUGGCGACUUUAAUUGCUGAGGUCAGGAGCGGCAAUCAAAAGGCACUGCAAAGAGCACCAUCAAAUCGAGCUGAAAACGCGCGCAUCAAGCGUCGCUCGCCAAAAACGCCAUCAAUUCUGUCGCUGGGCGGGCGGGAUGGAGAUGGAUGGAGAUUAAGCUGAGUGUUAAGUGCGCCGCCAUUGCGUUAACAAAUCUUCACUACUCUCGCUUUAACUCUCCCCUCAUACGCUCUAUUCUCUUUGUGUGCGUGAGUGCGUGCUUGUGCUUGUGUAUGUGUGUGCUUAUGUGCUGCACUUUGUAAAAGUGUUUUGCCCAUUUACGAGCCAGCGAGCUCGUCGAGCGUCGGCGCUGAUUUUUAUGCCAUGUUUGGCGCUGACUGUCAAGCAAACGCCUGCCGCUAGCCGCCAGACGCCACCUAGUGGCAGAAGCAGUCCCUUCGCUGCCCCGCCAUCUGCUUUGCCUUUGUCAAUCAGUGAGCGGGAGCGUGAGUUAGUGUGCGUGUGUGUGUUCAUCUCUGUUUCUGUGUAUGAGUGCAUGUGUGUGUGUGUGUGUGUGUGUGUACAGUCAUUUUCAUAUGUGAGUGGGCGUGGCCAUGGCAUGAGCGCACUUGCUACAAGUCUUGUUUGCCGUUUGCCACUGCCACUGCCACUGCCGUUGCCUGCCGCAGCAACAGUGCUGCCAGAAAUGCACACGCAGCAGCAGCAGCAGCAGCAGGAGCCGCCGUCAACAGUGGCGCCACCUACACGGCCCCCACCCACAACAAGAUAUAUGUUGACAGCUUGUGAAAAUAUGAGCAACGUUUUGCUGCUACCAGCCAAAUGUGUUGAAAAAUUGAAAAAUAUUUCGCCAUCGAUGCACUAAAAUAUGGUCCAUGACGAGAGGAGGGAGGCAGGAGGCGGGAGCCGAGAGGCGAACGCCAAAUCGCAGGCGAGAAAUGCAAAGCAACAACAAAAAAGCCAAAGAAAACCCAACACAGCAAAGCGAAGAAGAAGAAGAAGAUGAAGCACAACGUGUUGGGUUUUGUGUGCCAAAAAAGCAACGGGAAAAAAUUGUAUUUGGCGGCGCGCCAGACUAUAACAAGAGAAAUAACAACAACAGUAACAACAACAACAACAACAUGAAGCAGAAACAACACCAGCCACGCCUAUAGCCAGCCAUAGUCCUGAUCGAGUCCUCUGAAAGUCUUCUGGCUGCGUUUACUCUUUUGUUAUUUAAAAGUUUUUUUUUCCUCCACUUUUUCGCUUUAUUUUCUCCAGCUCCAUCUUGGUCUUCUUCUUCUUAGCUCCUUUUUUUUUGGCUGGGGGCUUUUAUUUUGAUUAACUGACAAGCGGCUGGCAAUUGGCACAAUUGAAGGCAACUCCUUGGUCCUAAGUCCUUGUUGCAGGCAUUGUUGAUUUAGGAUAACGCCAGCCAGCUGCCAAAAGGUUAACGUUAACGAAUUUAUAUUAAGGCCACCAACAAAACGCCCGAAAUAAAAAGACAAAAUAUGCCAAAAAGCCGAGAAAGGCUAUUGUGCGGGGAUCCGGUGAGCCGACGGGCCGAGGAGUCGAGGAGUCCAGGAGUCCAGGAGUCGGGUAGUCGGGUAGUCGAGGGGCCGAAAGAUGAGAUGAGCUCAAAAAUUUGCUUGCUCGCCAUUUACCGGUCGCGGCAACAAAGAGAUAACAGAAAUCUGCACAUCGCCCCAUAACUCUAAAGCCACAUUGAAAUGUAUAUAUAGUAAGUACACACACCAGCACACUAACACACACACACACACACACAGACACAGACACACAUAAAUAUACAUACUUUAUGCGUAGCACAAAAGGCAACAACUUGUUAACUUUGCUUUUUAUUUUAGGGACACUCUAAGUUGGGGCAGCCUGGCCUGCGAAGUUCGGGUUUGGCUUUCAUUUGCUAUACGCUGUGCGUGAGGUUCAAAUGGGGCAUAUUGGUUGCCAGCCAGCUGCGUGCAUAUGACUGAUACUUGAUACUGAAGCCCAUGUCUGCGUGUAUGUGUGUGUGUGUGUGUGUGUGUGUGUGUGUGUGACAGCAACUCCUGCACCAACUUGAGACUGACUUCGCUGCCAAGUGCAACUCAGCUCGGCAUGUGACGGAUGAAGGUUUUUGUACUCGACUUGCCAACAUAUACGUCAUCAUCGCACGCCCUGGCUCUAGCUCUGGCUGAGGCACUGUGCCCUUCACUCGGGACUGGGUGUUCUACAGUCGCUGCGACUCUUUGGCUGCCCGUCGGUAGCAGCUGCUUCGCCGCACAGACAAAUAUGAGGGCUUUGACUUGGCUGGGGAGAAUGCUGCUCCCGCUGCGCCCGUUGCCUCCCCCCUUCCCCUCUGCUGCUGCUGCUGCUGUUGCUUGGCGCCUACUGUGCCGGGGGGCCAUAAAAUUGGCGUCGCCACCGCGUGAUUAGGAGCCGCGACGCGUUUCAUUUAGCUUGUCCUCAAGGCUCCCGCAAACAUUCAAAUACACACACACACACACACACACACACGCAUAAACACUGAGUACUUACAUCUUGUAUAAGUAACGUAAAUUGCUGAGGCUCUGCGCCAAAUUGAGAGGCAUUCUUAAAGGCCAAUCUCAGGAGAUGGCCAUUUCUGUAUGUGAAACGAUACCCACCGGAGUUGCUCAUUGAAAGCCUUUGCCCCCACAACGGCCCCACCACUACGUCAUUUAUUAAAAAAAAAAAAAAAA